rnacentral:tRNA from 1 species
AUUAUCUUGGCAGAAAUAGUGUAAUAAAUUUAGAUUUUAUAUAAGUAAAUUAAAAUUUACAGAUAAUA